AGUAACAAGAGUUGAAAGUUUAGAUUUAGAAACGAUUAUAUAUACGAGCGCUCUUGGCUAUAUGUAUAUAUAUAUAUAUAUAUAGUAUAUACAAGUUGCUUCGCUCUCACUCGACGAUGAUCAUUUUCCUUUAAUGACUCGCAAAGAUGUGUACUACGCCUCAUUUAAAGACCCCCUUGUGAUCGAGAAAGGAGAGAAUUUCGAAUAAAGAUAUAUAGACAAUCUGCAAUGAGGUUUCCCUAUAGGUGCGACGCACGACCUGCUUCUCACGAAGUAUUGUGCACACCAUCAGGUCGCACCUCAUAAUCUCAAUGACCGUGACUACUAGGCCAAUGACCGCGCGCUCGACAAAAAAGCAAUUUGGACCAAUUCGAAUUUUCACGAGAUUACUCAACAAGCCCCAAUUAAAAUCAACGUCAUAUGAUAUUGCGAGCAUGUAAACUUAGCCCUUUCAUUACAACAUCAAUUACGUAUUGAAAUCAAAGGCCAACUAUUCUUACAUAGGGUAACCAGAAGAUGACAUUAAUUCAAACACCCACUAGGCUAUGCAAUCGCCGCCAUACGACUUUUAUACAUUCGUGGAUAGCUCGAAUAAUGCAAAAAAUUACAUAAAUAACAUCGCCUACACUUGCAAACUAAUAUGCUGAAAAGUCGCUUUUCUUCUAUUGAGGAAAAUAUUACAUACAUAUAUCUAUUUUCAAAGUGAGAAAAUAAAUUCUUCAAAUAAUAUUUUUGACUGAAUGCAAUAUAUUUUAAUUUUAUAUUUCGUUAAUUUAAUUAAAUAUUGUUAAUUUUAA